UUUAUUUUACUACUGUAUAUUAUUUUAACAAUGAUUUGAGUCACUCAACUCUAACAGAGUAUGAAUUAAGUAAUCGAGUAUGUUUGUUGCUGUGGAUCCCCAUGAUAAGAUGAGCACAAGGAUCUACAUGUAUGUAAAAUAAUGGUUGGGUCAAUAAAGAUAUUGUAAAACAUGCAUCGGUCUUGCAAAUUAAAAAAUCGACUUGGUGGGUACGAGUAGAGAAUGAUGAAAUAAUAAUUGAUAACAUACUAAUAUUGUGGUUGUGGG
rnacentral:lncRNA from 1 species